rnacentral:lncRNA from 12 species
AGUGAUCUGUGAGCUCCCCCAGUACCAUCCUUAGCGAUGGUGUCACAGUAGUGGCUGGUUUGGAGAGGAUGGGAUGAACUUCUCCUGUCACUGAAUUUUGUAUUUGUGAGCAAAUCAGCGUGGGUGACACAGCACUGUGUAGAGCCAUGGCUGAGCAGUGAGUGCUGAGGCCUGUCCUGCUCCUGAGCCCCAGCAGCAGGGAGCAGGCUGGGGCAGCAGCUGCUGGCAGGGGACACGAGGGGACAGCAGAUCCCCAGGUGCCAGGGAGAGCCCACAGCUGACAGCGUGUCUGCUCAGCUGCACCGGUGUGCAACUUGCUGCUGCUCUCUGACUGGUGACUCUCACACUCUUGGAGAUUACUCGGCCCAGCAUCCUCUCAGGCCUAUGAUGCACUGUGACUGCAGCCCCUGUUACCAUUUCCCAG